AUGGAUGCUCUCCCCCUAAAAAAGAGAGGCUAUAUGGAUGCUCUGAAAGCUGUAGCUUCCCCUAGUGGCGUGGUGGGGUUAAUCGGCGAACAUCCCCCAACGGAGCUCAUGCUCGAAGGGGGCUUGACAUGUUCAACCCCGUCUCCGGCGAUUGGCUCCUCGGCCACCUCAGCCGCGUGGUCCUCGACGACGACGCCCUCGCGCUCCUCCUCCUCCUCCUCCGCCUCGACAAGACUCUCUCCAGCCUCUCGCUCCACCUCCUCGCACACUCCUGCAGCAAAUGAAAAAUUCUCAUGCGUCAACAACAUGCCAGAAAGAUUGAGGCUGUCUAUAUGUGUGAGGGCAUGCAGUUGCCACUUUGAGGUGGCAGUUUUAUGCUAUAAAUUGCAGCUGAAGCAUGGAAUGUCUUACCAGUGGAUGGUAACGUUGUGUGGCGCAUGA
rnacentral:rRNA from 1 species